rnacentral:piRNA from 1 species
CCAUCUCCAAAAAAAAUAAGAGUGCCUUGCUC